rnacentral:rRNA from 1 species
AUUGAACGCUGACGGAAUGCUUUACACAUGCAAGUCGAACGGCAGCACGGACUUCGGUCUGGUGGCGAGUGGCGAACGGGUGAGUAAUGUAUCGGAACGUGCCCAGUCGUGGGGGAUAACGUAGUGAAAAUUACGCUAAUACCGCAUACGAUCUAUGGAUGAAAGCGGGGGAUCGCAAGACCUCGCGCGAUUGGAGCUGCCGAUAUCAGAUUAGGUAGUUGGUGGGGGAAAGGCCCACCAAGCCAACGAUCUGUAGCUGGUCUGAGAGGACGACCAGCCACACUGGAACUGAGACACGGUCCAGACUCCUACGGGAGGCAGCAGUGGGGAAUUUUGGACAAUGGGCGAAAGCCUGAUCCAGCCAUUCCGCGUGCAGGAUGAAGGCCCUCGGGUUGUAAACUGCUUUUGUACAGAACGAAAAGGUUUCUACUAAUACUAGGAGCUCAUGACGGUACUGUAAGAAUAAGCACCGGCUAACUACGUGCCAGCAGCCGCGGUAA